rnacentral:piRNA from 1 species
UAUGCACUCAGUUGAGUGUGGUGU